rnacentral:rRNA from 1 species
AUGAACGCUAGCGACAGGCUUAACACAUGCAAGUCGAGGGGCAGCAUGGUCAGUAGCAAUACCGACUGAUGGCGACCGGCGCACGGGUGAGUAACGCGUAUGCAACCUGCCCUGUACAGGGGGAUAGCCCAUGGAAACGUGGAUUAAUAUCCCAUAGUAAUCAUGAUAGGCAUCUAUUUUGAUUUAAAUCUUCGGAGGUACAGGAUGGGCAUGCGUCCUAUUAGAUAGUUGGCGGGGUAACGGCCCACCAAGUCUUUGAUAGGUAGGGGUUCUGAGAGGAAGGUCCCCCACACUGGUACUGAGACACGGACCAGACUCCUACGGGAGGCAGCAGUGAGGAAUAUUGGUCAAUGGGCGAUAGCCUGAACCAGCCAAGUCGCGUGAGGGAAGACUGCCCUAUGGGUUGUAAACCUCUUUUGUAAGUGGAGAAUAAGCGUUACGUGUAGCGCGAUGACUGUAACUUACGAAUAAGCAUCGGCUAACUCCGUGCCAGCAGCCGCGGUAAUACGGAGGAUGCGAGCGUUAUCCGGAUUUAUUGGGUUUAAAGGGUGCGUAGGCGGCACUAUAAGUUAGUGGUAAAAUUUCCGGGCUUCACCCGGAUUCGCCAUUAAUACUGUAGAGCUCGAGUACAGACGAGGUAGGCGGAAUAAGUUAAGUAGCGGUGAAAUGCAUAGAUAUAACUUAGAACUCCGAUAGCGAAGGCAGCUUACCAGACUGUAACUGACGCUGAUGCACGAGAGCGUGGGUAUCGAACAGGAUUAGAUACCCUGGUAGUCCACGCCGUAAACGAUGCUCACCGGCCCUUAGCGAUAUAGAGUUAGGGGUUAAUCGAAAGAAUUAAGUGAGCCACCUGGGGAGUACGUCGGCAACGAUGAAACUCAAAGGAAUUGACGGGGGCCCGCACAAGCGGAGGAACAUGUGGUUUAAUUCGAUGAUACGCGAGGAACCUUACCUGGGUUUAAAUUGCAAAUGAAUUAUGGGGAAACCCAUACGCCGCAAGGCAUUUGUGAAGGUGCUGCAUGGUUGUCGUCAGCUCGUGCCGUGAGGUGUCGGGUUAAGUCCCAUAACGAGCGCAACCCUUAUCACUAGUUGCCAUCAGGUAAUGCUGGGCACUCUAUUGAGACUGCCACCGUAAGGUGAGAGGAAGGGGGGGAUGACGUCAAAUCAGCACGGCCCUUACACCCAGGGCGACACACGUGUUACAAUGGCCGGUACAGUGGGUCGCUACCUGGUGACAGGAUGCUAAUCUCGAAAUCCGGUCGUAGUUCGGAUUGGAGUCUGUAACCCGACUCCAUGAAGUUGGAUUCGCUAGUAAUCGCGCAUCAGCCAUGGCGCGGUGAAUACGUUCCCGGGCCUUGUACACACCGCCCGUCAAGCCAUGGAAGCCGGGAGUACCUGAAGUCCGUAACCGCAAGGAUCGGCCUAAGGUAAUACUGGUAACUGGGGCU